CAGCCGCCACGGGAAUACGAAGGGGGCUAGCGUUGCUCGGAAUGACUGGGCGUAAAGGGCGCGUAGGCGGAUUGUUUAGUUAGGCGUGAAAUUCCUGGGCUUAACCUGGGGACUGCGCUUAAUACAGGCAGUCUAGAGUGAGGAAGAGGGUUGUGGAAUUCCCAGUGUAGAGGUGAAAUUCGUAGAUAUUGGGAAGAACACCGGUGGCGAAGGCGGCAACCUGGUCCUUGACUGACGCUGAGGCGCGAAAGCGUGGGGAGCAAACAGGAUUAGAUACCCCGGUAGUCCCUGUCUCUUAUAC
rnacentral:rRNA from 1 species